CGGCGAUACCCGAAUGGGGAAACCCAGUGUGAUUCGUCACACUAUCAUUAACUGAAUCCAUAGGUUAAUGAGGCGAACCGGGGGAACUGAAACAUCUAAGUACCCCGAGGAAAAGAAAUCAACCGAGAUUCCCCCAGUAGCGGCGAGCGAACGGGGAGGAGCCCAGAGCCUGAAUCAGCAUGUGUGUUAGUGGAAGCGUCUGGAAAGGCGCGCGAUACAGGGUGACAGCCCCGUACACAAAAGCGCAUGUGCUGUGAGCUCGAUGAGUAGGGCGGGACACGUGGUAUCCUGUCUGAAUAUGGGGGGACCAUCCUCCAAGGCUAAAUACUCCUGACUGACCGAUAGUGAACCAGUACCGUGAGGGAAAGGCGAAAAGAACCCCGGCGAGGGGAGUGAAAAAGAACCUGAAACCGUGUACGUACAAGCAGUGGGAGCCCCACCACCAAAGCAUUUGCUGUACCGCGUUGACGGAGCGAAGCGACGUCAAACCGAUAAAACAGCAGUGUAAAGUGAGCCGCAGGGCGCUUUGCGCGACAGCGCAAAGGCAGGCGGUUUCGCGUA
rnacentral:rRNA from 1 species